GACGAACGCUGGCGGCGUGCCUAAUACAUGCAAGUCGAACGCUUCUUUCCUCCCGAGUGCUUGCACUCAAUUGGAAAGAGGAGUGGCGGACGGGUGAGUAACACGUGGGUAACCUACCCAUCAGAGGGGGAUAACACUUGGAAACAGGUGCUAAUACCGCAUAACAGUUUAUGCCGCAUGGCAUAAGAGUGAAAGGCGCUUUCGGGUGUCGCUGAUGGAUGGACCCGCGGUGCAUUAGCUAGUUGGUGAGGUAACGGCUCACCAAGGCCACGAUGCAUAGCCGACCUGAGAGGGUGAUCGGCCACACUGGGACUGAGACACGGCCCAGACUCCUACGGGAGGCAGCAGUAGGGAAUCUUCGGCAAUGGACGAAAGUCUGACCGAGCAACGCCGCGUGAGUGAAGAAGGUUUUCGGAUCGUAAAACUCUGUUGUUAGAGAAGAACAAGGACGUUAGUAACUGAACGUCCCCUGACGGUAUCUAACCAGAAGCCACGGCUAACUACGUG
rnacentral:rRNA from 1 species